GACGAACGCUGGCGACGUGCCUAAUACAUGCAAGUUGAGCGCUGAAGGUUGGUACUUGUACCAACUGGAUGAGCAGCGAACGGGUGAGUAACGCGUGGGGAAUCUGCCUUUGAGCGGGGGACAACAUUUGGAAACGAAUGCUAAUACCGCAUAAAAACUUUAAACACAAGUUUUAAGUUUGAAAGAUGCAAUUGCAUCACUCAAAGAUGAUCCCGCGUUGUAUUAGCUAGUUGGUGAGGUAAAGGCUCACCAAGGCGAUGAUACAUAGCCGACCUGAGAGGGUGAUCGGCCACAUUGGGACUGAGACACGGCCCAAACUCCUACGGGAGGCAGCAGUAGGGAAUCUUCGGCAACGGACGAAAGUCUGACCGAGCAACGCCGCGUGAGUGAAGAAGGUUUUCGGAUCGUAAAACUCUGUUGGUAGAGAAGAACGUUGGUGAGAGUGGAAAGCUCAUCAAGUGACGGUAACUACCCAGAAAGGGACGGCUAACUACGUG
rnacentral:rRNA from 1 species